rnacentral:rRNA from 1 species
UGAAGUAAGUAAGGGCGUACGGUGAAUGCCUUGGUGCCAACAGGCGAAGAAGGACGCGGCAAGCUGCGAAAAGCCUCGGGAAGCUGCAAGCAAGCGAUGAUCCGGGGAUAUCCGAAUGGGGUAACCUGAUCGAGGCAAUACUCGAUCGUUCAUACCUGAAUACAUAGGGUAUGAAACGCGAAACCCGCUGAAGUGAAACAUCUCAGUAAGCGGAGGAAAAGAAAGAGAAAUCGAUUCCGUAAGUAGUGGCGAGCGAAAGCGGAUGGAGCCCAAACCGAAGGUAUUCCUUCGGGGUUGUAGGACCACGUCAUAUUCGACCAUACUGGAUAGUAGAACAGCCUGGAAAGGCUGGCCGGAGAAGGUGAAAGCCCUGUAGACGAAAUCCAGAGUGGGAAUUAGUGGUAUCCUGAGUAAUACAUCACACGUGGAACGAUGUAUGAACCCGCGCGGACCACCGCGCAAGGCUAAAUACUAGUUGGCGACCGAUAGUGAACAAGUACCGCGAGGGAAAGGUGAAAAGAACCGCUGUGAGCGGAGUGAAAUAGAACCUGAAACCGUAUGUCUACAAAGUGUCAGAGCAGAGCAAUCUGCGAUGGCGUGCCUUUUGUUUAAUGAGUCUGCGAGUCAGUGUUUGUGGCAAGACUAAGGGCUUCCGGCCCGGAGUCGCAGCGAAAGCAAGUCCGAACAGGGCGCAAUAAGUCGCAGGUACUGGACCCGAAGCGGAGGUGACCUACCCUUGGCCAGGUUGAAGCAUGGGUAAAACCAUGUGGAGGACCGAACAGGUGAACGUUGAAAAGUUCUCUGAUGAGCUGAGGGUAGGAGUGAAAGGCUAAUCAAACCCCGUGAUAGCUGGUUCUCUUCGAAAUGCAUUUAGGUGCAGCGUCACGUGCUGAUGCGCGGGGGUAGAGCACUGACAAGGCUAGGGGGCACACCCGCUUACCAAACCUUAUCAAACUCCGAAUACCGUGCAAUGGAACGUGGCAGUGAGACAGUGGGGGAUAAGCUUCAUUGUCGAGAGGGAAACAACCCAGACCAGCAGCUAAGGUGCCUAAAUAACGCUCAGUGGAAAGGAUGUGGGAUUACACAGACAGUGAGGAUGUUGGCUUAGAAGCAGCCACCAUUUAAAAAAUGCGUAAUAGCUUACUCAUCGAGUGAUCCUGCGCCGAAAAUGAUUGGCGAUCAAGCGUUAUACCGAAGCUCUGGACUUUGCCGCAAGGCAGAGUGGUAGAAGAGCGUUGCAUGCGCGUCGAAGGGCGAUGGCGACUGACCCUGGAGCACAUGCAAGUGAGUAUGCAGACAUGAGUAACGUUAAGCCGGGUGAAAUCCCCGGCCGCCGUAAACCCGAGGUUUCCAGGGCAACGUGUUUCGUCCCUGGGUUAGCCGGGACCUAAGCCGAGGCCGAGAGGCGUAGGCGAUGGACAUCAGGUUAAUAAUCCUGAGCUCGCAACCCUUAAACUGGGGGGACGCAUGAGAAAAGAUGACUAGGUUAUUGAAUUCCGAGUUGAGUCUACGGACUCAGCGCAUCAUUGGAUCGAGUGCCAAGAAAAGCCCCAGCGUAUGCUAAGCGACCCGUACCGCAAACCGACACAGGUGGGUGGGUAGAAUAUACCAAGGCGUAAGAGUGAAACCUGGUUAAGGAACUCGGCAAAUUAGCCCCGUAACUUCGGAAGAAGGGGUGCCUGCAGCGAUGCAGGCCGCAGAGAAAUGGCCCAACCGACUGUUUAUCAAAAACACAGCACUCUGCAAAGACGCAAGUCGAAGUAUAGGGUGUGACACGUGACCAAUGCCGAAAGAUUAAGGCAAGGGGUUAGCCGCAAGGCGAAGCUCUAAACCCAAGUCCCGGUGAAUGUCGGCCGUAACUAUAACGGUCCUAAGGUAGCGAAAUUCCUUGUC